rnacentral:misc_RNA from 1 species
AAGUCGUAACAAGGUUUCCGUAGGUGAACCUGCGGAAGGAUCAUUAACACGCGUAAUCUCUAACGAUUACAAACCAAACCCGUGCAUUGUAAUUUAUUUUUUACAGACCGCGAGUAGCAGGCCGCUUGGAAUUACAAGGAGUGUUUCGAUUGCUGUGAUUCCUUGUAGAUUCAAGUGCUAUGGACUGUUAGCCGCGGUAUACAAGUCAAAAAAACUCACUCAGUAGUCUACCUUUAACCCCAACUUGAACCUUUUAUUUAACUGAUCUCCAUUAGUCUGAGUCGAAAGGCUCUAGGCUACACUGGAUCGUAAUACUACGAAACAGUAAAGUACAACUCUAAGCAGUGGAUAUCUUGGUUCCCAU